rnacentral:lncRNA from 1 species
UUUUUUUUUUUUUUCCUUUUUACAGCCCACACCUGCGGCAUAUGGAAGUCCCGUGGCUGGGGUCCAAUCAGAGCUGCAGCUUGUGGCCAUGCUGGAUCCUUAACACACUGAGCGAGGCCAGGCAUCGGACCCACAUCCUCACAGAGGGCAACGUCGGGUCCUUAACCCACUGAGCCACAACGGGAACUCCAGGGACCAUACAUGUUUAAGUAAUAAUAAUUAUAAUCAUCUCAAGAGCUGCCAUAAAAUGAGUGUUUACUGUCUGCCAAGCACUGCGCCAAGUAUUUUAUGUAUUUAAUUUUUAUUGAAGUAAAUUUGACAUACAAUAUUAUGUUAGUUUCAGGGGUACAACAAUAUGGUGAUGUGACCAUAGACUACAUUAGGAAAGGAUCACCAAAGGGAGCUCCCCUUGUGGCGCAGUGGAAACGAAUCCGGCUAGUAUCGGUGAGGAUGCAGGUUCGAUCCCUGGCCUCGAUCAGCGGGUUGAGGAUCUGGCAUUGCUAUGGCGGUGGUGUAGGCCAGCAGGUGCAGCUGUGAUUCGAUCCCUAGCCUGGGAACCUCCAUAUGCUGCAGGUGCAGCCCUAAAAAGAAGAAGCAUCAGCACAAGUCCAGUAACAUCUCUCACCACAUACAAUUAUAACAGCACUACUGACGCUCUUGCUUAUGCUGUGAGUUACAUUCCCGUGACUUAUUUCUCUUAUGGCUGGAAGUCGGUAUUUCUUAAUCCCCUCCACCUAUUUCACCCAACCCCCUAACCCCUGUGCCAAAUAUAUUGUAAGAAUUAUUUUAUUGAAUUCUCCUGCCAUCUCUUUAAGGUAAAUAUCAUUAUCCCCAUUUCACAGAUGGGGAAAUGGAGGCUCCGAUAACUUACAUUAUUUCCUAGAAAUCCACAGCUCAGAAAUCAUACCUAAAGGCUUUUCAGCUAGAAAGGUGGGGACAGGAAUCUUAAACCAGGGUGACUAUCUUUGCCCUAACAUCCCUGCCUCCCCCGGGAUCCUUGCCACAAGUAAGGCACACAAGCCAUAAGCNUUUUUUUUUUUUUUUUUUGGUCUUUUUAGGCCCGCACCUGUGGCAUACAGAAGUUCCCAGGCUAGGGGCUGAAUCAGAGCUACAGUUGCCCGCCUACACCACAGCCACAGCAACGUGGGAUCCAAGCCAAUCCCCAAUUCUUAACCCACUGAGCGAGCUGCCGCUUUUACGGGACCUGAACUUUAACUGGCACUGCUGAACACCCAGGCCACCCCCUGGUUCCUAGAAGCCAGCGCUGGUCUCAUUCAAUGUUCAUUCAUUUUAAAGUCCUGCUCUAGCUUUAUGCCCUGUCUCUCAGGAGCCCUAGCGUCCGCCCUCAGGCCUUGGCCCCAGCACAGCAGUUGUCCUGUCCAAUCGAACAAAGCCUUUCCCUCGGCAUCGUCGGUGCAAUUCCACGAUGGCUUAUGAGGGACCCAAACGCUGCACUUGUUUUACAUAAAGCAAGCCCUCCAAAGCGCGCAAAUCUCUUUCAUCUGCUUUAGUUUGUGAUGUGACAGUGGGACCGACACUCGUGGGGAAGGCUCUCCCCUCACCCUGCCGAUGUCUCCUUUCUGCAGCCCCUCAAUUUCUCUGCACAACAGAAUACACACACUUCCCCACCUCACAGAAAUGAGGCUGAUGACCAAGUGAGACAGUAAAAAUAUGCUGAGAAAAAAAAAUUCGAUGCUCUCCAUCACAAAGGUGUUUAUAUCAUAGCUUUUCCGAAUAGUAUAGGUCCUGGCAAAUUCUACUGGGCAUUUAUUUGUGAGGCCAAAGCAUAGAUCCAGAAACUGUCUCUGUUACAUCUAUAGGGAUUUCCAUGUAAUGAAACAUUUCCGGGAAACACGUUAGAGCCAUGACCAAGCGUGCUAACAGGGCAGUCAUAGGAAAACUCCCCAAAGGGCUGUGCGUCAGUCCUGGGGAGGGUUUUUUGUUUUGUUUAUUCACAUUUGGGCCCCAUUUAUGACUCCAGCAUAACUUCCCGUGGCAUGAAAGUGGUAACGGAGAUUAAUCACCCGAUUUUUAAUUACAUUUGGCCUCUUGGCACCCCGUGUUAUAAGUACCCUGUCUCUCAGGGCACUGUGACAACAAGUGAUCUGUCGUCGGUGCUUCUGAAAGAGCUUUGGUGUUGGCACAGCUUAUGAUCGCUGAAAUAAAGGGUUCUAGCCUUCUAAGAAUCUAACAUACACACCCUUUGUGUGGCUUUACAAAUGGCUCAAAGAAUGAGACCAUCACAAGAAAACAAUGAAUUGAGUUUGUUGCUGUCAUUGUUUUCUUUUUUUGGCCGCCCCACAACAUAGGGAGUUCCAGGGCUAGGGAUCAGACCUCAGCCGCAGUUUUGACCUAUGUUGCAGCUGUGGCAAGGCUGGAUCCUUAAAACCACGGUGCCUGCCCGGGGACUGAACCUGCAUCCAGAUGCUGCAGCGACACCGCCAAACCCACUGUGCCACAAGGGGAACUACUAAAUUGGGGUUCUGGACUAUUUACACACCCCCUAACCUGUCCAGUUGCCUCUGCUUUUUCUGGGCAUCAGACUCCAUUUUGAACAUGGAUUUGUUUUUUUUUUUUUCUUUUGGAAUGGCUUAUUUUCUCUAUUGUAUUCAUUCAGAGGAGGGGAAAAAAAAAAA